CCUACGGGAGGCAGCAGUGAGGAAUAUUGGUCAAUGGGCGCGAGCCUGAACCAGCCAAGUCGCGUGAAGGAUGACGGUACUACGGGUCGUAAACCUCUUUUAUCAGGGAAUAAAGUGAGGGACGUGUCCCUUUUUGUGUGUACUUUAUGAAUAAGGAUCGGCUAACUCCGUGCCAGCAGCCGCGGUAAUACGGAGGAUCCGAGCGUUAUCCGGAUUUAUUGGGUUUAAAGGGUGCGUAGGUGGGUUGUUAAGUCAGUUGUGAAAGUCUGCGGCUCAACCGUAAAAUUGCAUUUGAAACUGGCAGUCUUGAGUAUAGUUGAGGUAGACGGAAUUCGUGGUGUAGCGGUGAAAUGCGUAGAUAUCACGAAGAACUCUGAUUGCGAAGGCAGCUUACUAAACCACCACUGACGCUGAUGCACGAAAGUGUGGGUAUCAAACAGGAUUAGAUACCCCUGUAGUC
rnacentral:rRNA from 1 species